UAUCCGCAGGACUCCCAGCCUUGGGCUGCUGCAAGGUGGGAUGGACUCGCUAGAGCUGUGGACCCCUCAGACAUGUGAGGAGGGCCCGUCUACCUUCUUCUGGUGACAGUCGGGGACAUCACUUGGUGCCUGCAAACAUUUGUGUAAGCUAGGGGUGGCGCCACGAGGUGCAAUGAUUUCCUUCUGUAGACCAUUCAGGCCAUGAGAUGAGCCCAAAUGCGACCUCUAUCUGCUCUGUGGCAUAGGGUCGGCAAUCCCUUCAACCUCUAGGGCCACUAAUGGGGGGGUCCCCUAUCCCCCAGGACAAAGAGCUGGACUGUGUAUUAGAUUGUCUUUCUUUGCUCUUCCAGAUGCGUCUGCACUCUUGUCACCUUGCUCUGUGCCUCAGAAGCUGACCCUUAUUGACUGAGCCCAUGGCUCCUUUGCUCCCUGAGAUCCACACACUGAGCUUGGUCAAUGGAAGACAUUGGCAAGAGUGGGAAGAGUGAGAUCUGGGCAUGGGUUUGAUGUCUUCCAUUUGCGCCUCCAGAUCCACUUUCCCCCGUCUCUAAGAAGACUCCUAGAGAGAAUAUAACUUUAAAUGCUACAUGGUAACCAGUCACACAUGUUCUCAAUGACAUAAUAUGUGUCUGUGAUCACUACAACAGUCAACUCGUAGAAUUCAGGAGGGCUGAUUUGAAUUGACUGUGACAGGUACCUUUGAAGAAUUCUGUCAGAGCGAAGCUUUGCUGCCCCUCGUCUCAUUGUAAACGUCCCACAGGCAAUAGAGAUGGAGCUUUGGGUCCUCUGUGGGUCUCCCCACAGAGCACGGGCCGUUUCAGUUUAUUCUCUCCUAUAAAACACUAAAUAGUCCAACUUUUGAUCUUUCAGCACGUCAUCACUUCCCACCAUCAGGGAGAUUCAGAUUUUGACUGAUGUUGGAACUAAAGUCAAAGGCGUGUGGUACCGAGUUUGAACUUGAGGCUGUGGAAUCAAGAGUCUAUUCAUUCCCGCCACUUCUCCUGCCCCGAACCUCCCACUGGCGACUUCUGCCAGGUCUCUAACUUUCUGCUUGCCAAGUAUACGUAAGGAUUGAACGUGAGGCAUCUCUCUAAGGUCAUGAGAUUUCUCCCCCUACCAAAAUACCACUUCAAAAUCCACUUCAGUUUCGUUUUUAAAAUUUUUCCCCUUCAGAGCAUUUCCAGCCACAUUAGAAACUAGCUCCUUAUUUACAGUCACUCACGCAGCCCACUGGUCUUCCUCUCCUUCACCUCCGGGGACUCCAUGCUCCUUGACCCCAUCCAGCCCCUCCUCCCUUCCUCCCCUCCCUCCUCCUCUUUCUCCCUCUUUUUUCCUUCCCUUCCUCUCUUCCUUCCUCCUCUCUCCCCAUCCUUGGCAGUGGCCUGGACACAAGAGACGGAGGCCUGGAGAAAUGAGUUGUGCAGGUGUUGGCAUGGAAAUGAGGUCCAUGGGGAGGACAAGACUGAGGGGCCGGCCCGAGCCUGGAGGAGUAGGGAGCACUUUACAAGGAACAGCAUUUCUGGAAGCCAACUUAUGCAUCUAUUUUCAUAUUUUCCGAAACGUACAUGAGAGUGGCUGCCUGAGCAAGAAACCAAAUCCUUAGAGAAUUAAGAGGGAGCCUUUGGAUGACUGGUUUCCUCCGCUCCUAAUACGACGUGCAAAAAGCAACUUCCGGCCAAAAGGAAAGAAGAGAAUUCUGGACAAAACACAAGCCAACAAACCAACCUAACGUGGUUUCCUGGCUUAUGCGGGGGACUUUGUCUCAGAAAGAACAUUUUACUGGCCUGAUCAUAAAUUUGCCCUCCACUGGUUGAGUCAGCCUGUUCAUUUUUGGCUCGCCCUCCCUGAAGCUAAGCAAACGACGAGCAGCAUAGUUUUCACUUCUAAACAAACACGUGGGAAAAGAAUAACAAUUAAAGGCUUAAUUAUUGGUUGUAAAUUACAGGCAUUAAAAGCUGCCAUGGAAGUGUUCGGAGACACAGGAAAAAGUGUGGAAGCUUGAAGGCCAGCUGUUCCGUAGCUUGUGACCUUGGUCAAAAGCUGCCCCCGGGCCUCAGACACGUCCCAUCUAGAAUCAGGUGGCUCACAGGUGUAGUUGGACUUUUUCUUCUUUUUCCGGGAGAUGUUCUCUUAAGGGGGAUAACUUAUCUUCUGGUGGCCCAUGUCAAGAGGAUCAAUGUCAGGAAAAAACAGUGUUUGUUUCCUUGUAUUUUAAGAUUUCCUAUUUUUGGCAUCCUUCCUCCAGGAUGGCUUUAUCUCAGUGCAGAGACCAGGAAGUCAAUUGUGUCGGCUGGAGCAUCCUCUGGGCCCAGCCACGUCUUGGGCUGCAGACAGCCGCGUAGGCUCUGGCACUUAAGGACCGUUUGCUCCAGGUCAGCACAGUCUUUUCCAAAAGUCGGUCUAAGAGUCUUGGAGGGUCCACAAUAUUUCCACCUUGUUUGUAGAACAUGAUUUUUCUUCUUCAGAUGAGAGGGUUAUGCUUCAUCCUGUUCCACAUCCUUUUCAUCCAUCUCUAUUUCGGCAGCUCUGUCAGCCAGAGUGGGCGACCUCCAACCUUUGUUUCCCUGCAGGCAAACAAGAUUUUCUCAGUUUCGUUACUAACAAUAGAACAAAAGGCAUUGUGAAUGUCCAGGGACUUUUUGUGGCAUAUUGCAGCAGUGGGUGCAUGGGGGGACAGGGAUAACUAACAUUCUGCUUCAUUUUAUUCUCCAAAUUCAUUUGUUAAUGAAGCUUUUAAAGAAAUGUUACUCUUAUUAAAAUGACUUAGGAAAAUUACUUCAUGUCUUUGUGGCUUAUCUAUAACACAUGAAUAUUUCCCCUCAAAUUUAGCCAUGCCUUAAUUUUAAAAUUUUGUUCUUUAGAAUAUUUUGUUUUCUUAUAUUUUUAAAAUUUUGAGUUCUGAAAGUAAAGAACAGUGUAACAAUUACGGCACACAUAUUCCCAUCUUCCAGAAUCAUCAACUUAAUAUUUGUUAUAUUGGCUUCUAGCUUUUUUUUCUUCUCUUUGUUUUUCAUUUUUUGAAUAAUUAAAGCACCACAGAUGUAGCAAAAGUUCACUUUAACGGACAUCCUUGGUCCCACCAACCUUUGUCAAACCACCACCACAGCUACACAAUUAUACCAUGAGUUUGAUGAGCUUGGGUUAUAUAAUUCAAGCACAUUUUCAUAUUUUAGAUAAAAUAUAUAUGCAGAAAAAAUAGGGUACAUUUUUUAUGCAUAUUUUGUUUUUUUACUGAAGCAAAAGCUGUGUAUGAAGUAUAAAGAUCAAAGUUACAGCUCAAUAAAUUUCUACACAGUAAACAUAUCUAUGCACCCACUAGCUAGAAAAAAACCAGAAUUUUACCAUUCGCCCAAAAGCCCUCUUUGUGUCAUGUUCUACUGGCUACCACUCUCAUAUUGUAACAUCGUAUGCUAAUUUUGCUUAUUUUUGAAUUCUAAAUAAAUGGGGUCUUUUAUGUCUGGCUUCUUUUGCUCAACAUUUAUGUGGAAUUCACACAUGCUUUCACCAAUAGCUCUAUUUCAUUCCUGUUCAUUGCCUGUAGAAUUCGAUCACAUUAAGACACUAAAAUUUAUUUAUUCAUUCUAGCAUAGAUGGGCGUUUGAGUUGUUUCCAGUUUCAGGUCAUUAUGAAUAGUGAGGCUAUGAACAUUCUUGUGCAGACUUUGUGAUGUCCACAUAUACAUUUCUGUUGGGUAUGUAACUAGGAGUGGAACUGCUGGGUCAUAUGAUAUGGUUAUAAUAAACUUUAGUAGGCAUUGCUAAACUGUUUUACAAAGUGCUAAUGCCAAUUCACAUUUCCACCUAUUUGUCUUCUUUAAAAAAACUUAUUGAAAUAGUACCAUACCGGGGGCUGGCCCCGUGGCUGAGUGGUUAAGUCCGCGCGCUCCGCUGCAGGCGGCCCACUGUUUCGUUAGUUCGAAUCCUGGGCGCGGACAUGGCACUGCUCAUCAGACCACGCUGAGGCAGCGUCCCACAUGCCACAACUAGAAGAACCCACAACGAAGAAUAUGCAACUAUGUACCGGGGGGCUUUGGGGAGAAAAUGGAAAAAAUAAAAAAAUCUUAAAAAAAAAAAAAAA
rnacentral:lncRNA from 1 species